rnacentral:rRNA from 1 species
CGUAGGAGGCGAGCGCUAUCCGGAUUCACUGGGCGUAAAGCGCGUGCAGGUGGCUUGGUAAGUUAGGCGUGAAAUCUCCCGGCUCAACUGGGAGAGGUCGUCUAAUACUACCGGGCUAGAGAGCAGAAGAGGAAGAUGGAAUUCCCGGUGUAGUGGUGAAAUGCGUAGAUAUCGGGAGGAACACCAGUGGCGAAGGCGAUCUUCUGGUCUGUUUCUGACACUCAGACGCGACAGCUAGGGUAGUAAACGGGAUUAGAGACCCCGGUAAUCCUAGCCGUAAACGAUGUGAACUUGGCGUUGGUGGGUUAAACUCCAUCAGUGCCGCAGCAAACGCGAUAAGUUCACCGCCUGGGGACUACGGCCGCAAGGUUA